AGCUUUGCACAGUGGCAGUAUCGUAGCCAAUGAGGUCUAUCCGAGGAGCGAUUAUUGCUAAUUGAAAAAGAAAAUGCCUGCAGUUUAGAAGAUGGCUGAUAAAGAAACAGAUUCUGGAAUUAAAAAUUAAAACCUACUGCAAUUUUA
rnacentral:snRNA from 1 species